UCCGGUGUAGCUCAACGGUAGAGCAGGCGGCUGUUAACCGCAAGGUUGUAGGUUCGAAUCCUACCACCGGAGCCC
rnacentral:tRNA from 1 species